GGAAUACGCAGGUAAAAUGUUAAAUGUUGCAUCAUUGUUUUUGAAGCAUGUGCUUUAUAUUGUAAAUUGAUUUACAAUUCUUUUGUUACGGAGCAGUUCUGAUGAAUGGCAGAUUUCGAAAAUCUGCAUACUGUUGCUUGUAUGCAAGGUUCUAGGGAAAUUCAAGAUUUCUGGCUUUGGGAAGUUAGAAGAAAAGGGCUAAGGUUGACUUGAUUCUGUUGUAGGACUUGCAGAAGCAGAUCACUAAAAUAUCAUACAUAGAAAUAAAUAGGGCUAAAUGACUAAUAGCCCCAUCCUGAAGUUUAAUUCAAAAUUUCAAUUUUAUCCAAUUUUUUUAAUUUUACCAAAUUUGUCCUGAACUUGAUAAUUGGUAGCAGUUGUGCCUAGGGGAAGGAAUCAUACAGUGAGUCAUGCAUCUAUGCUGAGCUAGCAUUGAAUUAGCAAGCUAACAAGGUUAAGCAAGUUAUGUAGGAUUUAAAAUAUUUGGCUGGUGUCCGCCAGAAGUUUUCUGACCCUUUAAGAAGCUGUAUUUUGUAGUUUGUGAGAGAGAAAGAGAGAGAGAGAG
rnacentral:misc_RNA from 1 species